GGAUAACCUACCCUUAGGACUGGGAUAACCCUGGGAAACUGGGGCUAAUACUGGAUAGGCAAUUAUUCCUGCAAUGGUUUUUUGUUUAAAUGUUUUUUCGCCUAAGGAUGGGUCUGCGGCCGAUUAGGUAGUUGGUUAAGUAAUGGCUUACCAAGCCGUUGAUCGGUACGGGUUGUGAGAGCAAGAGCCCGGAGAUGGAACCUGAGACAAGGUUCCAGGCCCUACGGGGUGCAGCAGGCGCGAAACCUCCGCAAUGUGAGAAAUCGCGACGGGGGGAUCCCAAGUGCCAUUCUUAACGGGAUGGCUUUUCAUUAGUGUAAAGAGCUUUUGGAAUAAGAGCUGGGCAAGACCGGUGCCAGCCGCCGCGGUAACACCGGCAGCUCUAGUGGUAACAAUUUUUAUUGGGCCUAAAGCGUCCGUAGCCGGUUUAAUAAGUCUCUGGUGAAAUCCUGUAGCUUAACUGUGGGAAUUGCUGGAGAUACUAUUAGACUUGAGACCGGGAGAGGUUAGAGGUACUCCCAGGGUAGAGGUGAAAUUCUGUAAUCCUGGGAGGACCGCCUGUUGCGAAGGCGUCUAACUGGAACGGUUCUGACGGUGAGGGACGAAAGUUAGGGGCGCGAACCGGAUUAGAUACCUGGGUAGUCCUAACUGUAAACGAUGCGGACUUGGUGUUGGGGUGGCUUUGAGCUGCUCCAGUG
rnacentral:rRNA from 1 species